AGAGUUUGAUCAUGGCUCAGGACGAACGCUGGCGGCGUGCCUAACACAUGCAAGUCGAGCGGUCCGGCAUUUAACAUUGAGUAUUCGGAAACAAGGCUGGCAAACAAGCCGGCGUCAAGCAGAAACAUCCUUAAGAUGUUUUUGAAGUCUAAUUCAAGUGCCAACACAAAAAGGGACUGAGUACUGAAUGUUGAAUGCCGGAUAGCGGCGGACGGGUGAGUAACGCGUGGGCAACCUGCCUUUAACCGGGGGAUAACACAGGGAAACUUGUGCUAAUACCGCAUAACAUAUUCUUAUGGCAUCAUAGGGAUAUCAAAGGAGCAAUCCGGUGAAAGAUGGGCCCGCGUCCAAUUAGCUAGUUGGUGAGGUAACGGCCCACCAAGGCGACGAUUGGUAGCCGAACUGAGAGGUUGAUCGGCCACAUUGGGACUGAGACACGGCCCAGACUCCUACGGGAGGCAGCAGUGGGGAAUAUUGCGCAAUGGGGGAAACCCUGACGCAGCAACGCCGCGUGAAGGAUGAAGGUUUUCGGAUUGUAAACUUCUUUGAUGAGGGACGAAGUAAGUGACGGUACCUCAAAAACAAGCCACGGCUAACUACGUGCCAGCAGCCGCGGUAAUACGUAGGUGGCGAGCGUUGUCCGGAAUUACUGGGUGUAAAGGGCGUGUAGGCGGGGAGACAAGUCAGAUGUGAAAAUACCGGGGCUUAACUUCGGGGCUGCAUCUGAAACUGUUUUUCUUGAGUGUCGGAGAGGAAAGCGGAAUUCCCAGUGUAGCGGUGAAAUGCGUAGAUAUUGGAAUGGAACACCAGUGGCGAAAGGCGGCUUUCUGGACGACAACUGACCCUGAGGCGCGAAAGCGUGGGGGAGCAAACAGGAUUAGAUACCCCUGGUAGUCCACGCCGUAACGAUGGAUACUAGGUGUAGGAGGG
rnacentral:rRNA from 1 species